AUUGAACGCUGGCGGCAUGCUUUACACAUGCAAGUCGAACGGUAACAGGGUGCUUGCACCGCUGACGAGUGGCGAACGGGUGAGUAAUGCGUCGGAACGUGUCGAGUAGUGGGGGAUAACGCAGCGAAAGUUGUGCUAAUACCGCAUACGUACUGAGGUAGAAAGUGGGGGACCUUCGGGCCUCACGCUAUUCGAGCGGCCGACGUCUGAUUAGCUAGUAGGUGAGGUAAAGGCUCACCUAGGCGACGAUCAGUAGCGGGUCUGAGAGGAUGAUCCGCCACACUGGGACUGGGACACGGCCCAGACUCCUACGGGAGGCAGCAGUGGGGAAUUUUGGACAAUGGGCGAAAGCCUGAUCCAGCCGUGCCGCGUGUCUGAAGAAGGCCUUCGGGUUGUAAAGGACUUUUGUCAGGGAGGAAAUCCCUAGUGCUAAUAACACUGGGGGAUGACAGUACCUGAAGAAUAAGCACCGGCUAACUACGUGCCAGCAGCCGCCGUAA
rnacentral:rRNA from 1 species